CCUCCUCUCCUUGCUACAGGAGCAACCACGCCUGCUCCACUAUGCGGCAAAGGCUGGGCUGUGGUCUGCGGUGUUUAACCCUCCCCCCUCCUGCUCCAAGCCAGGGAGCUGUCGUAGGGCUUUGCAUCUGCAGUGUUUCUGCUUUAGAAACUUCUGGAAUAAGCGGCCAAGCUGGGGAGAGGAGAGAACCUUUUACACUCACAGAGGAGCAAAGCACAUAGUAAAAGGGACAGAAAUGCACAAGGAUCUAAGGCACCUCUCUCUCCGUGCAGAAUCAUGUGCACAAGUCUCACCCGUGUCUUUUGCAUCCUGGCUUGGUUGUUUUUCAGCCUCCUUAUAAAAUAAACUCCCAAACAAAAACACAGCACAAAAAAUGGGGGUGUUUUGGAGCUCUAAAUGGUGGAAUAAAGGAACUGAUUCUUUCUGCUGGACCUACCGAAAAUCCUUGUCAUUUAAGUUUGUUGAACUAAUUGGUCCUCUCUUUUCGUUACACUGAAUGGUUGGGGGCUUUGUCUGAGCUGGAGUACAUUUGACUGCAUUUGCAGCUUCAGUUAUGAUUUUUUUCUUUUUGUUCUGGUUGCUUUUUUUUUGGUUUCGUAAUUUAAACAGUCCUCCCCAAAUAUCCCAAGGAAAAUCUGCAUCUCUGUGGAACACAUUAAAAAAUAAGGCACAAACUUCCACCAUGGAUUCUUAAAAUGAGAUGGGUUUUUUUAUUUUUUUGGUGAUGGCAUUUUUUUCUUCUGCUUUUAGGAUAUGUUGUAGUAGAAAGCCAAUGGAGGAAUGCAAAGCAUUGGAUCGAUAUUACUUCACACUGACAGCUUGCAGCCCAGACACCUGUCUUCCAUUAAACCUCCGACGCGGCUCGAGCAAACAAGGAAGCAGAUGAAAGAAAAGUACUGGGGAGUGAAGGAGGACUUGGAGUAAUGGAAUUUCCCUGUCGAUGUUAAGUACAGCUCCGUACUGCUGGCAGGUCGCAUGGCUUUUGGGUUUUGCCAGAUCAAAUGCAAAUGGUUUGGUCUUUGACGCAACAGAGAGGAGCACUGGGUUGUCCAUGUGCUGGUAAAAUGUUUGCUAAACCACGUACUCCAGUCCAUCACUCCACCCUGAUUACUGUGCCAUGCUGUAUGGAUUUCUCUAACGAGGCCCACAGGAUUUCUUGUGGGCAUGAUGCAACGCGGAGCAACUGUGACUAUUCUGCCUAGAGGGGUUUGCACAUAUGCAGUUUCACUGUCAUCUCUAAUCCUUAGUUCCAGUUUGGGAUUCCAAGACACUUCAAAGGCUUAUUUUAACACAUGCUGCUUCUGCUUCACUUUUCCAUCCCUUAUGGAACCCGCACUUUAGUUCAAUCUUCAUGCUGCACAAGAGAUGUGAACACUUCCCCCAUGAAGGUUACAAAGCUUUUUAAUGUAAGGGGAGGAGCGUGAGACGUAGGUCCUAAACCCUUUCAUUUUCCCAUUGCUGGCAUUAAAAAACUUUGUGGGGUGAAAGUCGGAACCUGUUGAAGUCAUUGACUUCAACAGGGCCAGGAUUUCACCCCUGGAUUUCUCUUCCAGACAACAAGAGCUCUGGGGCCUGAUCCUCCAUAAUGCUGCACCCCGUGCCAUCAUUUACACCCCGGAAAAGAGUGGCAAAUCAGAAUGGUAGCAUUUUGCAAAGCUGUAAUAAGGUGCAGGGCAAUGGAGAAUCUCUAGAGCAGUAUGUUUAAUUGGCCUUUGUGGAUUCCAAAAAGCUCAGACUGUAUAUUUAGAAUACAUUUAUCAAUAGUAUAUAAAGAGUUAAUAAUUAAUAACUAUUAGAAGCAUAAAAAGUAUGUUUUAUAGUUAGAAGCACAGCAGUACAAGGUGCUACACAAAUGUAGCUGCAUUGGUCCCAGGAUUUGAGAGAGACAAAUUGGUGGUGGUAAUAUCUUUUAUUGGAUCAACUUCUUUUGGAGAAAGAAACAAACUUUGGAGACACACAAAGCUCUUCUUCAGGUCUGGGAAAGGCAACCAGAGUGCCAGAGCACAAUACAAGGUAGGAUAGAUUGUUUAUCAUAAAGGGGUAACACAUGUUGCAGGAGACCAUGUAAAAUGCAAUGCACAGUAGCACCUCUGCACUGCAAUCACAGGACAAAGGAGGGUUAAUGGGUUACAAAUGGUUGUAAUGGGUUGUUGCUGAGUCCAUGUUUUUUAGAGUGUAGCAGAAUUGAGUUUAAGCUCCCAGGCUGGUCUUUUGAAGUUGUUGAGCAGGUUUGCUUUGAAGACGACACUGACCGAUCAGAAACGGAGUGAUUAUUUUGUGAAAAGUGUCUGCUCACGGGUGAUAGGGCAUUUUUACCUUUUAUUGUUUUUCCCGUGUGAGUUCAUUUGAGAGCAUUCAUUCGAGGUGCAAAACCUGCAGACAUAUCUCCACUGCUAUGAUGAUCAACACCCCCAUAACACACCCCUCAAGACCCAUGGGUUCUAUACAUGCCUAUCACGACAUGUGAUGUACCUCCUCCAGGGCCUCAAAUGCCCCAACAUGCAUGUGGGUGAAACCAGACAAUCACUAAACUCUCAAAUGAACCACACAGAAAAAUGGUAAAGACAAUUACUUGUGGGUGAGCACUUUUCACAAUCCCUCUGUAUCGUCCUCAAACACCUUCAAAAGAUAAGCCUGGGAGCUUAAAUUCAUAACUCUGCUAGACUCUAAAACAACAUGGACUCAACCAGAGACAGUGGCUUUAUGGCUCAUUACAACAAUUUGUAACCUACUAAACCUCCUUUGCCCUUUGACUGCACAGAUGCUAAUUGCCCACCUCAUUUUAAGUGGUCUCCUGCAACAUGUAUUGUGGUUAACACUCUCUCCCACCUUGUAUUUAGCUGUAACACUCAGGUUACCUUUCCCAGACCUGAAGAAGAGCCCUGUGGAGCUCGAAAGCAUGUCUCUUUCACCAACAGAAGCUGGUCCAAUAGCAGAUAUUACCUCCCCCACCUUGUCUCUUUUAUGUAUGGUUAUAAGUCAUCGUUAUAAGCAACCUACUGACCUGUUGGACUUGCUGAUUAACCAAGUAUUAAAACAUCUAUUAAUAAUAAUUUAUUACACCUUUACUCACUAUUUAUAAAUGUACAUUUAAUAUAAAGCGUGAUCCAGAAAAGACCACUUAAAGGGACACUGUCAACUCGAAGUCUAACUUUUUUUUAAAAAAAGAGUAAAGAAUUUAAAGGAUUAUCCAGUGCUCUACCUGCCUCUGAGUCUUGCCAGGUUUUUGUUUGUUUGUUUGUUUUACAAUAAUUUUCUAAUUCAUUCCCCCCCCUCCCUUGUUGCUGUGUGGAAGCCCCACACAAAUAAAAAAGGGACUCUGAAUGUGCAGGGGCAACAGUGCAACUUGAUUCUACAGAGAGAGGUGAAAUGCAUAAAGAAACCAUGCUGGGGGUGAAAGAAGAUAUUAGAGGGGGGAAUUGUCUGUCACAAUCAUUUUAAUUGUUAUUUGGAACAACAGAAGGGAAAAUGAUUGGAUAGCGAUGUGAUAGCUUUGAUAAUAUGCAGAAAUCAAACUGACAGCUGUCUGUCUCCUCCAUAAUUUAAUACACAGUACAUAAAAUAUUAGAGAAACGUUCCUAGAAAAAUCAUUCAUCUGCGUACAUAACCAGUGCUUUGACUGCAGUUUAUGGUUAUGUAAAUCAGAAGAGAAUAACUUAUGCUUUCGCUGACCCCUGGUGGCUAUGAAAAUAAUUCAGGGUUGAUCAAAACAAAAAUGCAUUUUCAAAACAAAAAACCUUUUAAAAACAAUUAAAUAGCACCUUUCCCCCUGGAAAGCUCAGAGAGAAAACUCUAAGCCUACAAUCACGGAGGCUGGAACAAUUUUUACAGUGGGGGUGCUGAGAGCCAUUGAACCAAACUGUAAACCCAGAUAUGAUGGAAACCACUUCCACCAGCACCAGUUCCAGAGGGGCAAGAGCUGGUUUGGAAUCUGACAUUCUAUUCUGUUCGAUAGGUUCUUAGCCCACCCUCAUUGCCACAGUAUCUAAGCAUAUUCCCAUUGUACAUUAAGGAUAUGUCUACACCACACAAAAACCCUCAGCAAGUCUCAGAGCCCAGGUCAACUGCCUUGGGCUCCCAGUGUUCACGCUGCAGUGUAGCCAUCCCAGCUCAGGCUGGAGCCUGGGUUCCAAUACCCUCCCCCCCUCACUGGGUUUGAGAGGCCAG